rnacentral:rRNA from 1 species
UACGUAGGAGGCGAGCGUUGUCCGGAGUUACUGGGCGUAAAGGGUGCGCAGGCGGCCGAUCGCGGUUUGCGGUGAAAGCUCCCGGCUUACCUGGGAGAGGGCCGUGAAGACGGGUUGGCUUGAGGCUCGGAGAGGGACGUGGAAUUCCGGGUGGGAGCGGUGAAAUGCGUAGAGAUCCGGAAGAACACCGACGGCGAAGGCAGCGUCCUGGCCGAGGCCGUGACGCUCAGGCACGAAAGCGCGGGGAGCGAACGAGG